rnacentral:sRNA from 1 species
CUCAUUUCCACUCUCUCUCUCAACCUCCAUCUCCCUUUCCUUCUUACAACUCACACCUUCUUUUCUCUUUUUGGUUAGGAGUCGUCUUGAAAUAGUUACGGAAGACCCUUCAAACUAAACCAUGGACGGAAAUUAAGAAUACAAUCGGGUUUCGUGAAUGAAAGUUGGAUAACGUUGAUGAGCUUCAAGACACCAAUUAAGAUGAAGAACCAGAGGUUGAGCUGCCUCAAGAAGAAAGCGAUGCAACUAUGCAACUAUAAAACCCUGAAAACUAUGUAGUAUCUAUUAUUAGUUUUAAGUUCCUUCCGUUGAAGAUGUAGAACAUCUUAAUACUAGUAUGGUUAUUUUCGAUAACUAUUAUUUUAUAUCUUAUUUUAAUUUUUUAUGGAUUAUAAGCUCUCUUAUUUAAUAAUUGUAUCUGAGAUGUUACAUUUGUCAUAAACAUUAUAAGUAAUAUCUA